rnacentral:rRNA from 1 species
UACGGAGGGUGCAAGCGUUAUCCGGAUUCACUGGGUUUAAAGGGUGCGUAGGUGGGCAGGUAAGUCAGUGGUGAAAUCUCCGGGCUUAACCCGGAACUGCCAUUGAUACUAUCUGUCUUGAAUACCGUGGAGGUGAGCGGAAUAUGUCAUGUAGCGGUGAAAUGCUUAGAUAUGACAUAGAACACCAAUUGCGAAGGCAGCUCACUACACGAAUAUUGACACUGAGGCACGAAAGCGUGGGGAUCAA